rnacentral:ncRNA from 1 species
UUUAAUAAUUGGCAAACUUGUCUAAAGGCAGGGACGCAAAGCCAUGGGUCUAAGGAAUAAUUCUAUGACUGGAAUAUUCUAUGAUUGCCAGGUUGCACAA